GGGGAUAUAGCUCAAUUGGUAGAGCACCUGCUUUGCAAGCAGAAGGUCGCCGGUUCAAGUCCGGCUAUCUCCACCA
rnacentral:tRNA from 1 species